AACUCUGGUAUUGAUUGGUGCUUGCAUCAUGAUUUACAUUUGAGUGAGUGGCGAACUGGUGAGUAACACGUGGGAAACCUGCCCAGAAGCGGGGGAUAACACCUGGAAACAGAUGCUAAUACCGCAUAACAACUUGGACCGCAUGGUCCGAGUUUGAAAGAUGGCUUCGGCUAUCACUUUUGGAUGGUCCCGCGGCGUAUUAGCUAGAUGGUGGGGUAACGGCUCACCAUGGCAAUGAUACGUAGCCGACCUGAGAGGGUAAUCGGCCACAUUGGGACUGAGACACGGCCCAAACUCCUACGGGAGGCAGCAGUAGGGAAUCUUCCACAAUGGACGAAAGUCUGAUGGAGCAACGCCGCGUGAGUGAAGAAGGGUUUCGGCUCGUAAAACUCUGUUGUUAAAGAAGAACAUAUCUGAGAGUAACUGUUCAGGUAUUGACGGUAUUUAACCAGAAAGCCACGGCUAACUACGUGCCAGCAGCCGCGGUAAUACGUAGGUGGCAAGCGUUGUCCGGAUUUAUUGGGCGUAAAGCGAGCGCAGGCGGUUUUUUAAGUCUGAUGUGAAAGCCUUCGGCUCAACCGAAGAAGUGCAUCGGAAACUGGGAAACUUGAGUGCAGAAGAGGACAGUGGAACUCCAUGUGUAGCGGUGAAAUGCGUAGAUAUAUGGAAGAACACCAGUGGCGAAGGCGGCUGUCUGGUCUGUAACUGACGCUGAGGCUCGAAAGUAUGGGUAGCAAACAGGAUUAGAUACCCUGGUAGUCCAUACCGUAAACGAUGAAUGCUAAGUGUUGGAGGGUUUCCGCCCUUCAGUGCUGCAGCUAACGCAUUAAGCAUUCCGCCUGGGGAGUACGGCCGCAAGGCUGAAACUCAAAGGAAUUGACGGGGGCCCGCACAAGCGGUGGAGCAUGUGGUUUAAUUCGAAGCUACGCGAAGAACCUUACCAGGUCUUGACAUACUAUGCAAAUCUAAGAGAUUAGACGUUCCCUUCGGGGACAUGGAUACAGGUGGUGCAUGGUUGUCGUCAGCUCGUGUCGUGAGAUGUUGGGUUAAGUCCCGCAACGAGCGCAACCCUUAUUAUCAGUUGCCAGCAUUAAGUUGGGCACUCUGGUGAGACUGCCGGUGACAAACCGGAGGAAGGUGGGGAUGACGUCAAAUCAUCAUGCCCCUUAUGACCUGGGCUACACACGUGCUACAAUGGAUGGUACAACGAGUUGCGAACUCGCGAGAGUAAGCUAAUCUCUUAAAGCCAUUCUCAGUUCGGAUUGUAGGCUGCAACUCGCCUACAUGAAGUCGGAAUCGCUAGUAAUCGCGGAUCAGCAUGCCGCGGUGAAUACGUUCCCGGGCCUUGUACACACCGCCCGUCACACCAUGAGAGUUUGUAACACCCAAAGUCGGUGGGGUAACCUUUUA
rnacentral:rRNA from 1 species